AAGAGUAGUUAUUUACUUAUCUCGAAUUAUAAAGAGCUAAUACUAUAUAUAUAUAAUUGUUACAUAAAUUUUUAUAAUAUAGUAUUUGAAAUGAAACGUUAGUCGUUUUUUAAGAUAUCUAGUUUUUUAAGAAAUGAAUUUAAUUCAGUUAAUUAAAUCUUUAGUUCUAUUUUGUUAGUAUUAAGGUUUAGUUAAAUAAUAUUUUAAGGGAUAAGCUUUAAAGUAAAAAAUCAUAAUAUUGGUUAUAUGGCGAAAAUAUGUAGGAUUGAAAAUUUUUAUCUUUAGUUUGUUAUAAUUAGUUUUUGUUUUUAUAAGAUUUAUAUGAGAGUUUGAGUUGUUUAUUAAAUUUAAUUAUUUAAUGUUAGUAUAUUUAUAAUAAUGAUAAAAUUAGUAUAAUGGAUUGUAUAUUUAAAUUAGGCAAUAAAGGUUAAAUUAAGGAACUCGGCAAAUAUAUUUUUCGCCUGUUUAUUAAAAACAUGUCUUUUUGAUUAUAAUUUAAAGUCUGACCUGCCCAAUGAGGAGUUCAAUGGCCGCGGUAAUUUGACCGUGCAAAGGUAGCAUAAUCAUUAGUUUUUUAAUUGAAAGCUGGUAUGAAUGGUUGGACGAGAAAAUGACUGUCUCAAUUUAAUUGAAUUAGAAUUUUAUUUUUAAGUUAAAAAGCUUAAAUGAGUUUAAAAGACGAGAAGACCCUAUAGAGUUUUAUAUAUAUAUAUAUAUAAGAGUAUUGGUAUAUAUUUUAAGUAUGUUUAUAUGUAUUUUGUUGGGGUGACAAAAAAAUUGAUUUAACUUUUUUUAUAUUAGAUCAUUAGUUUAUGAUUAGAUGAUCCGUUAUUAACGAUUAUAAGAUCAAAUUACCUUAGGGAUAACAGCGUAAUUCUUUUUAAGAGUUCUUAUCGAAAGAAGAGUUUGCGACCUCGAUGUUGGAUUAAAAUUUAUUUUUGGUGUAGAAGCUAAAAUAUUAGGUCUGUUCGACCUUUG
rnacentral:rRNA from 1 species